GUAAAGAACAUGCACAGAAAACAGAGCUCAUCGUGACAAGAUAUCCCCCAGAUAUAGUGUUAAAUAAAGGAAGCGAUAAAGGAAUUAUUGGCAUACCAAUGAAGAUUUUAUUGCUUCCUGAGCUUAGGAUAUAUAAAUAGACAAACUUGACAUGGGACACAUGGGUAUUUUCCCCGUAAUUUUCUGAUCACAUGAAUGUAAUGCGUGCAGGAAAACGGAAGGGAGAGGUGAUACAUAUCUAUAGCAGAAUGCGCAUCAGGUUCAUUCUGCUCUUCGCUUUGGUAGCGCAAAGUCGUCUGUAUUUUAAAGUCAAGUUUUUUCCCACCCUCCUCCCCGUUUUUCUGAACGCAAG